CAUCCACCGCUACUACCGAAGGAGCCCCCACAGGCCCCUGGCUGGCCUGCACCUAUCGCCAGUCCUGCUCGGGACAUUUGCCCUCAGUGGUGGGGUUACUGCUGUUUCGGAGGUAUUCCUCUGCUGUGAGCAGGGCUGGCCAGCCAGACUGGCACACAUUGCUGUGGGGGCCUUCUGUCUGGGAGCAACUCUCGGGACAGCAUUCCUCACAGAGACCAAGCUGAUCCAUUUCCUCAGGACUCAGUUAGGUGUGCCCAGACGCACUGACAAAAUGACAUGACUUCAGGGAAGCCUGGACACCCGAGGCACCUGGACCAGCUAUGGGUAGUUCUGUGGGUGGAACACAUUCUGUGUAAGAGCCCCACUGAGGGCUCUGCAGCGGAGUGACAGCAACCCCAGAGAUGAGGCACCAGAGAGUGCCACUGCAUGAGACACCUGUGACCAUUCGAAGUCUGAAAUGCGGGGGGGGAGUUUCAUUUUUAAGUGAAGACCAAAAGCCCUUUAAAAAUAAUAGUUUUUUAUCAUUUUAUAGUAAUCAGCAUUUUCUCUUUUACUAAUAUACUCAUUCCUUUUGCGUAUGAUUGGCCUUUGGAGCUACAUGCUCCAACAAACUAUAUCUUAAUUGUUAACUGUUAAUAAUUAUCUGGCCCAGAAAAAGAGAUGCAGUGAUUUUACCCUUCACAGGAAUAUUGAACUUCUUCUGUAAAAGAGAGAGAGAAACCUCUCUCUCUCAUGCACCACAUGGAAACAGAGUGUGGCCCUG
rnacentral:lncRNA from 1 species